CCUGGACCAGAGCUCAGUCCCUUUUGGAGAGGGCCCUGAGGGAGACGCCUGGACAGGAAGAAAAGACAUUUUUGAGAUGUUCCUGGUCCCCUAAAUGGAUUGCGUCCUGUUCCUUCAGCAUUAAAGUCAGUCUAAAGCAGAGGCCUCCGGGAGCUGACGUGGAUGAAAUGUUACAUUUGUAUCAUCAUUCUACAGAUGGACAGGAAAGCACUUUUUCUGGAUAAAUCGAAGGAGGGAGGCUGAGGGAUCAAACCACUGUGAGCCCCACGGGGACCCUGACAUCUCUGCCCGUGAGCCAGCGACAGCCAUCCAUCUUUCUAGGUUACACAUAAGUCAUCGCAGGCAGGCGAGAGUUGGACCUAUUUCUGAAGAUCUGUUCAGCAAGCAGGUCCUUUCAUCUGAGGACACAACGAAAGACACUGGCUUGUGGUACCAUUUCCUGACACCAUUUGGGGCUGGCAGUCCAGCAGGCGGACAGCUUUGUGGCACGGUACGGAAGAGUUGGCAGACUUUCCAAGAGAGGUUCCAUAUGUGAAAGGUGCUGAUUAGGAAGUUUUCAAAUCUGCAACAACCAGUGAUCCCUGAGAGCAC
ensembl:lncRNA